CGAGCCGGGCGGGCGGUCGCGUCGGGACGUAUGGUCCCGCCGAGGAACGUCCGGGCUCCGCAGGGCAGGGUGGUGGCUAACGGCCACCCGGGGUGACCCGCGAGACAGUGCCACAGAAAACAGACCGCCGGGGUCCGUCAGGACUCCCGGUAAGGGUGAAACGGUGGUGUAAGAGACCACCAGCGCCCAGGGUGACCUGGGCGGCUCGGUAAACCUCACCCGGAGCAAGGUCAAGAGGGGCCGUCGGCCGACGGCCCUGCGCGGACGUUCGAGGGCGGCCCGCCCGAGUCCGCGGGUAGACCGCUGGAGGCUGCCGGCAACGGCAGCCCUAGAUGGAUGGCCGCCGCCUCGGCCGGCCGCGAGGCCCCGAGGCACAGAACCCGGCGUACAGCCCGGCUCGUCUG
rnacentral:RNase_P_RNA from 1 species